rnacentral:rRNA from 1 species
UACUUGAAUAUUAAGAGUUAUGAGCUUUAAAUUCAGAGAAUUUGGCGGUAUUUUAGUCUUGUUAGAGGAACCUGUUCUGUAAGCGAUACUACACGUAGAAUCUUACUUACUUUUGUUUUUCAGCUUGUAUACCGUCAUUAUUAGAUAACCCUUAUUGGGUUAGUUAUUGAACUAUAAAAAAUUAAAUAUAUUAGAUCAAGGUGCAGUUAAUGGGUAAGAAGAAAUGGGUUACAUUGAAAUUUAUUUAGACGGAUUGGAAGUUGAAAGGUUUCUAUAAAGGAGGAUUUAAUUGUAACAUAAGUUUAAUAAGUUUAUGUGAUAUGAGAACUAAAAUAUGUACACAUACGCCCG